rnacentral:lncRNA from 1 species
AAUAAUAUUAUCUUUCCUCUUUUUAUCGUAAUCUCUCUCUGUAUCGCUAUCGUCUCCUUCUAUCUAUUUGUUCUCUCCUCUUUUUUGUAUCGUCCCCCGUAUUGAUUUUUAUUCUCAUAUUUAUAGUAGAAGGGGCGGCAAGAGAUAUUUUGAGGAGUCGGUUAGGGAUUCGAAAUUCGAAAUCAAAUUUUGAAUCGGUUGUUUGAUGGAUAGGUAUUCAAAAUUCGAAUGGAUGUGGUUGGUUGGAAGAUAUUUUGGGAGUUGGUUGGGGAUUCGAAAUUCAAAAUCGGUUGUUGUGGUUGAUUGGAAGAUAUUUUGGGGGUUCGGUGGGGAUUCGAAAUUCAAAAUCGAAUUUUGAAUCGAUUGUUGGAUGGAUAGGUAUUCAAAAUUCGAAUGGAUAUGGUUGGUUGGGAGAUAUUUUGGGAGUUGGUUGGGGAUUCGAAAUUCGAAAUCGAUUGUUGUGGUUGGUUGGAAGAUAUUUUGGGGGUUGGUUGGCGAUUCGAAAUUCGAAAUCGAUUUUUGAAUCGGUUGUUGGAUGGAUAGGUAUUCAAAAUUCGAAUGGAUGUGGUUGGUUGGUAGAUUUUUUGGGGUUGUUUGCGGUUAGUUGUGAGAUAUUUUGGGAGUUGGUUGUGGUUUGUUGAGAGAUAUUUUGGGAGUUGGUUUAGAAUUUGAAAUCGAAUUUCGAAUGGGGUUGUUAGGAUAAUAGAUAUUUUCUAGGGUGUGGAUAUAGGCCGUCAUUGAUUGGGCCUACUUUAAUGAAAUAUGUU